AAAAUUUCCACCAGAGACUUUGGUCAUUUCCAUGAUUGCUCCACACAGCAGCCCUCUCCAACACUGAGGAGGACAGGCGAGUCUCGGGCUAUAUACGCCUCCGAGCCCACCGCCCCUGAUGAAGAAUCACCACGGUGCUCCUAUAGCGACACAAGAGCGCUGAGUGAUGAGUUCACGGCAAACAACCUGCUGAUGAUCGUCAACAGCAGCUUUUCUGCAGGACGCACAACGCUCCUCCCAGACGCCACCGUUGCAGGAGAUUAUUUUCCUCAGUAAUGUCACUUAAUUAUGACUUUUCAACAGUUCUUUCCCUUAACGGUGAUUUGGACUGGAGAAGGGGGGGGGGGGGGGUUCCCUUUCACGCCACCAGAGGGACCAGAGAGCAGGCAGGGUGAUAUAAAGCAUGAGGCUGCUCAAAAAUAAAUAUUGGAAAAGGAGAGGGGGUCAGCAUUUUGCUUUGUGUUGCUGUUGUUCACUUUGCACAAGCUUCCACUCAGCAUGCGGUCUGUAGACGUUCACAGGUUAUCUCUCCUAGGCAUCUGUGCCAGGCAAGCACACUACUUCUACCCGAUAAACGGCUACAGCUCAGUGAAACCACAAUCUAGCACACUAGUGCAUGCAUUUGUAUCACACCAGUUUGUAUCAUACUAUAAGGUCUGCUGCUAUAAUUUGUAUAGUUGCAUGAAUCAUGCAGUUAACAACCAGCCCUCUUCCCGAUCACCCACAGAUUGUAAUGGGCCGAUUGCGUUGUUUUACAUUAACAACCCACCUUGCAACGACAUUGCAAAGCAAACACACGCCGCCCGUGCGUAAGUGACUCUCUCAGAAUGGCAAAAACAAGACAACAACAACAACAAAAAAAA